rnacentral:rRNA from 1 species
CCUACGGGAGGCAGCAGUGGGGAAUAUUGGACAAUGGGGGGAACCCUGAUCCAGCGACGCCGCGUGAGUGAAGAAGUAUUUCGGUAUGUAAAGCUCUAUCGGCAGGGAAGAUAGAAAUGACGGUACCUGACUAAGAAGCCCCGGCUAACUACGUGCCAGCAGCCGCGGUAAUACGUAGGGGGCAAGCGUUAUCCGGAUUUACUGGGUGAAAAGGGGGCGUAGACGGCGAUGCAAGUCUGAAGUGAAAGGCGGGGGCCCAACCCCCGGACUGCUUUGGAAACUGUAUGGCUGGAGUGCAGGAGAGGUAAGUGGAAUUCCUAGUGUAGCGGUGAAAUGCGUAGAUAUUAGGAGGAACACCAGUGGCGAAGGCGGCUUACUGGACUGUAACUGACGUUGAGGCUCGAAAGCGUGGGGAGCAAACAGGAUUAGAUACCCGAGUAGUC